rnacentral:rRNA from 1 species
ACAUAAUGCAACUAGCACAAUCUAAUAAUCACCACCACCCCACCACUAAACCCAGCUUUCUUGAAUAUUGGACAAUGGGCGAAAGCCUGAUCCAGCAAUGCCGCGUGAGUGACGAAGGAUUUCGGUCUGUAAAGCUCUUUUGUGAGGGAAGAAAUGACAUGUGAGGAAAUGCUCAUGUCUUGACGGUACCUCAUGAAUAAGGGACGGCUAACUCCGUGCCAGCAGCCGCGGUAAUACGGAGGUCCCAAGCGUUGUUCGGAAUUACUGGGCGUAAAGGGAGCGCAGGCGGACAGGUAAGUCUAAAGUGGAAUCCCGGGGCUCAACCUCGGAACUGCUUCGGAUACUGCCUGUCUUGAGUUCGUGAGAGGAAAGCGGAAUUCAGGGUGUAGCGGUGAAAUGCUUAGAUAUCCUGAGGAACACCAAUGGCGAAGGCAGCUUUCUGGCGCGAUACUGACGCUGAGGCUCGAAAGCGUGGGGAGCGAACGGGAUUAGAUACCCCGGUAGUCCACGCCGUAAACGUUGUGCGCUAGGUGUAGGAGGUAUCGACCCCUUCUGUGCCGCAGCUAACGCAUUAAGCGCACCGCCUGGGGAGUACGGUCGCAAGACUGAAACUCAAAGGAAUUGACGGGGGCCCGCACAAGCGGUGGAGCAUGUGGUUUAAUUCGAGGCAACGCGAAGAACCUUACCCAGACUUGACAUCCCAGGACAGCUUAUGAAAGUAAGUCUUCCCUUCGGGGACCUGGAGACAGGUGUUGCAUGGCUGUCGUCAGCUCGUGUCGUGAGAUGUUGGGUUAAGUCCCGCAACGAGCGCAACCCCUAUUCUUAGUUACCAUCGGGUAAUGCCGGGCACUCUAAGAAGACCGCCGGUGAUAAACCGGAGGAAGGCGGGGACGACGUCAAGUCAUCAUGGCCCUUACGUCUGGGGCUACACACGUGCUACAAUGGCCGGUACAAUGGGCUGCAAUACCGCGAGGUGGAGCCAACCCCAAAAAACCGGUCUCAGUUCGGAUUGGAGUCUGCAACUCGACUCCAUGAAGCCGGAAUCGCUAGUAAUCGAGGAUCAGCUACGCCUCGGUGAAUACGUUCCCGGGCCUUGUACACACCGCCCGUCACAUGACCCGAGUCGGUUGCACCCGAAGUCACUGGCCUAACCCGCAAGGGAAGGAGGUGCCGAAGGUGUGAUUGGUGAGGGGGAUGAAGUCGAAACAAGGUA